UUUUAAUGAGAGUUUGAUCCUGGCUCAGGACGAACGCUGGCGGCGUGCCUAAUACAUGCAAGUAGAACGCUGAUGUUUGGUGUUUACACUAGACUGAUGAGUUGCGAACGGGUGAGUAACGCGUAGGUAACCUGCCUCAUAGCGGGGGAUAACUAUUGGAAACGAUAGCUAAUACCGCAUAAGAGUGAUUAACACAUGUUAGUUAUUUAAAAGGAGCAAUUGCUUCACUGUGAGAUGGACCUGCGUUGUAUUAGCUAGUUGGUGAGGUAAAGGCUCACCAAGGCGACGAUACAUAGCCGACCUGAGAGGGUGAUGGGCCACACUG
rnacentral:rRNA from 1 species